UACGAAGGGGGCUAGCGUUGUUCGGAAUUACUGGGCGUAAAGCGCACGUAGGCGGAUGUUUAAGUCGGGGGUGAAAUCCCAGGGCUCAACCCUGGAACUGCCUUCGAUACUGGACGUCUUGAGUCCGAGAGAGGUGAGUGGAAUUCCGAGUGUAGAGGUGAAAUUCGUAGAUAUUCGGAAGAACACCAGUGGCGAAGGCGGCUCACUGGCCCGGAACUGACGCUGAGGUGCGAAAGCGUGGGGAGCAAACAGG
rnacentral:rRNA from 1 species